AAGAAGCUGUUUGGUUCGUUCUCGCCUGGUUUGGAAGAAUCCAAGGGAGGCAGUUCUUGCAGCCCUGUCUCCUUCCACUCCCCUUCUCCCCCAGUCCUGGCUGGAGCUGUGAGUCUGUCAAUCUCAGGCAAGAGACAAGGCAGACAAAGAUUCAUUUGUGAGGACCUCCUUCCAGCACCUCCACUCUUCUCCUUUUGCCCAAACUCACCCAGGGAGUUGGAGCAUUUAAGAUUUCUCUGCCAGGAAGACCAAAAGGAAAGAAGAAAAAGGAUCAAAAGUCAAAAUGAAAUUUAUAGCACUUGCUGUCACUGUUGGACUAACUUUGCUGCUAGGAGUCCAAGCCAUGCCUGCAAAUCGCCUCUCUUGCUACGGAAAGAUACUAAAAGACCGCAACUGUCACAACCUUCCAGAAGGAGUAGCUGACCUGACACAAAUUGAUGCAAACAUCCAGGAUCACUUUUGGGAUGGGAAGGGAUGUGAGAUGAUUUGCUACUGCAAUUUCAGUGAAUUGCUCUGCUGCCCAAAAGAUAUCUUCUUUGGACCAAAGAUCUCUUUUGUGAUUCCUUGCAACAAUCACUGAGAAUCUUCAUGUAUUCUGGAGAAUGCCAUCUCUCAUUUCCCAAAACUGCACUACAUCAGUAUAAAUGUAUUUCUAGUUUCUACCCAUUAAAAUAAAGGACAGAUUCAAUAAAUUC